GCCCGUGUGAUGGAACUGGCAGACGUGAUAGACUCAAAAUCUAUUGUCCGCAAGGACGUGGCGGUUCGAAUCCGCCCACGGGCACCA
rnacentral:tRNA from 1 species